UACGUAGGGUGCAAGCGUUAAUCGGAAUUACUGGGCGUAAAGCGUGCGCAGGCGGUUUUAUAAGACGGAUGUGAAAUCCCCGGGCUCAACCUGGGAACUGCAUUUGUGACUGUAGAGCUGGAGUGCGGCAGAGGGGGAUGGAAUUCCGCGUGUAGCAGUGAAAUGCGUAGAUAUGCGGAGGAACACCGAUGGCGAAGGCAAUCCCCUGGGCCUGCACUGACGCUCAUGCACGAAAGCGUGGGGAGCAAACAGG
rnacentral:rRNA from 1 species